AUGUUGUAGAUAAUUUAUGUGGA
rnacentral:piRNA from 1 species